rnacentral:rRNA from 1 species
UACGGGGGGGGUAAGCGUUGUUCGGAAUUACUGGGCGUAAAGGGCUCGUAGGCGGCCAACUAAGUCAGACGUGAAAUCCCUCAGCUUAACUGGGGAACUGCGUCUGAUACUGGAUGGCUUGGAUCCGGGAGAGGGAUGCGGAAUUCCAGGUGUAGCGGUGAAAUGCGUAGAUAUCUGGAGGAACACCGGUGGCGAAGGCGGCAUCCUGGACCGGCAUUGACGCUGAGGCGCGAAAGCCAGGGGAGCAAACGGG